rnacentral:rRNA from 1 species
GCGGAGGAAAAGAAACUACCAAGGAUUCCCCUAGUWACGGCGAGUGANGCGGGAACAGCUCAANUUUUAANUCUGGCUGCUUCGCAGUCCGAGUUGUAAUUUGAAGGCGUCUGUCGCAUGUGAGACGAUGGCACAAGUCCUCUGGAACGUGGCAUCGUAGAGGGUGAGAAUCCCGUCUCUGGUCGUUGUCUUGCAGGCACACGGCAGGCGAUCCGAAGAGUCGAGUUGUUUGGGAUUGCAGCUCCAAAUGGGUGGUAAACUCCAUCUAAGGCUAAAUAUUGGCGAGAGACCGAUAGCGAACAAGUACCGUGAGGGAAAGAUGAAAAGAACUUUGAAAAGAGAGUAAAACAGUACGUGAAAUUGUUGAAAGGGAAACGCUUGAAGUCAGUCGUGCCGGCGGGGAUUCAGCGAACUUCGCGGAGUGAGCGUAUUUCCUCGCAUGGCAGGUCAGCGUCAGUUUUGCGCGUCGUGAAAGGGCUCGGGUAAGGUGACUCUCUUCGGGGAGUGUUAUAGGCCUGAGCAGAUGCGAUGCGCGGGACUGAGGAUUGCAGCGGACACCCUUCGGGGCGCGGCGACCGAUCCCUGCUCUGUCACCUUCGUCCGAUAGCGUGCUAACGGUCGGGGGAGCGGCGGUUGCACCGGGUUGGCAAGCCGGCGGCUNCGCUAAGGAUGCUGGCGUAAUGGCUUUAAACGACCCGUCUUG